rnacentral:rRNA from 1 species
GUAGGGAAUAUUGGGCAAUGGGUGCAAGCCUGACCCAGCCAUCCCGCGUGCCGGAUGAAGGCCCUCUGGGUCGUAAACGGCUUUUGACGGUGAAGAACCGAAAGGGUGCGCCCUUUUUUGACGGUAGCCGUUGAAUAAGCACCGGCUAACUCCGUGCCAGCAGCCGCGGUAAUACGGAGGGUGCGAGCGUUGUCCGGAUUUAUUGGGUUUAAAGGGUGCGUAGGCUGGAAGGACAGUCAGCGGUGAAAAGCAGUUGCUCAACAAUUGUCUUGCCGCAGAUACUUCCUUUCUUGGAUGAGGAGGAGGCCACUGGAACGGAUGGUGUAGCGGUGAAAUGCAUAGAUAUCAUCCAGAACACCGAUUGCGAAGGCAGGUGGCUGUACCUUAAUCGACGCUGAUGCACGAAAGCAUGGGGAGCAAACAGGAUUAGAAACCCUUGUAGUCC